UUCUGGCUCAGGAUGAACGCUAGCGACAGGCUUAACACAUGCAAGUCGAGGGGCAUCACGGGAGUAGCAAUACAACUGGUGGCGACCGGCGCACGGGUGAGUAACGCGUAUGCAACCUACCUAGUCAGAGGGGAAUAACCCGGCGAAAGUCGGACUAAUACCGCAUAAAACAGGGGCACCGCAUGGUGAUAUUUGUUAAAGAAAUUCGCUGAUAGAUGGGCACGCGUUCCAUUAGGUAGUUGGUGAGGUAACGGCUCACCAAGCCGACGAUGGAUAGGGGAACUGAGAGGUUGGUCCCCCACACUGGUACUGAGACACGGACCAGACUCCUACGGGAGGCAGCAGUGAGGAAUAUUGGUCAAUGGGCGGGAGCCUGAACCAGCCAAGUCGCCGUGAAGGAAGAAGGAUCUAUGGUUCGUAAACUUCUUUUGCAGGGGAAUAAAGUGCAGGACGUGUCCUGUUUUGUAUGUACCCUGAGAAUAAGGAUCGGCUAACUCCGUGCCAGCCGCAGC
rnacentral:rRNA from 1 species